AGCGAACAGGGAAGAGUCCAGCGCCGAAUUCCGCGCCUUUCAAGGGUGUCUGGAAAAUGUGGCGUUUAGGAGGGAGCGUGCCGGUGGUUGACUCUGCAGCAAGUCCCCCUGACCGGGGCUGUUUCCCAUAGUGGGUGCGAGGCCCAUAGCUGCUAGGUCUCCUCGGGAUGCGACCUCUUGGGAGUCGGGUUGCUUGAGAGUGCAGCCCUAAUCGGGUGGUAAACUCCACCUAAGACUAAAUACGGCCGUGAGACCGAUAGCAAACAAGUACCGUGAGGGAAAGUUGCAAAGAACUUUGAAGAGAGAGUUCAAGAGUACGUGAAACUGUUCAGAGGUAAACGGGUGGGCCCUCGAAAUCCUGUGGCGGUUGGGUUCAGUCGGACGUGGCGGAU
rnacentral:rRNA from 1 species